rnacentral:lncRNA from 1 species
GAAGGGCCCUUGGCUCUACCGCAUGCGAGGCUGGUGCAGUGGCCAAAAAGGCGUUCACUUGCACAGCUAUGGGUAGGAGAAUUGCCAGAGUGGCCCACAGUUCCCAACACGCAGAGAAGCUGGGGGCCGGAAUGACCUGCGGAACCCGUGCAGGGAGUCAGGUUGGUGACCGGAAGGCCGUCUGGGGCACCAAAGCUCUGGAAAGAUGGUCACCGAAAGGUAUCUGACUGGCACAGGAGGAUGGAGGCCUGAGGGCAGGAGGUGUUUUAGUUCUCCUGUCUGCCACAAGCUGGGGUCCUGAAGCAUCCACGGAUACGUGGAUUUCAGGCUGGCUGGCGGUCAGAAGAGCCGUGAAUCCGGUUGUCCAGUGAUGAUGAGUGGGUGGCCGGAAGGGAAGUGGAUGCACCAGCAAGCUGGAAGGACGGUGGCCGAGAGGGUUCUAAAUUCCCCAGCACACGGGCAGGUUGUUAGCCGGGAGAGCUCUGGGCUCCCCAACACGCCAGGCCUGUAAGGUGGCCCGAAGGGAUCUCAUAUCCACAGCAUGUGGGCAGGCUGAAGGCCAGUUAGCCCUCGGCUCCCCAACACACGGGCAGGUUGAGGGGCCAAAUGACCGGCGGAACCCUAGCGGGUGGGCAUGUUUGUGACCCGAAGAUCCCCGCACCAAUGCAGGAAAAGGAUGGUGGCCCAAAGGGUUCUCACUUCCACAGUGCGCUGCGGCCUGGGGCUGGAAAUGCCCCGCUCCCCCGCUGUGAGGCCGGAAGGUGCGUUUGCAUCACCCGCAGCCAGGCGGGUGGCUGUGGGUCCUCCGUGGCCCAGCGUCGUGCGGUCAACAGCACGCUGCUGGAUCGCCGCCGCCAGCCUGGGUCGGUGCCUUCAGCUUCGGUCUACCAAACAUAUAUCCGUAUUGCAUCGGGCCAGCUCCUGUCCUGAGAAUCCCUGCUUGAUGAGGCCAUCCAUUAUCCUCUCUUACCGUAUGUUAGCUGCAUCCGUGCCAGGCACUUAUAACUGCCUGGAAUUGCUUUAUCUACCUUCAAGAUAUAUCCAGAAUCCACCCACUUCUGCCUCCUCCAUUCUUACCUCCCUGGUCUGAGCCACCAUCAUCUGUCACUAGGAUGGCUGUGGUAGCCUCUGCGCUGGUCUCCUUCCUCCACUCUUGCUCUGCCCUCACCAGCCUUUUCUCAACACAUCAGCCAGAGGAAUCCCUUUAAAACAGAAGUCAGACCGUGCAGCUGCAGCCACCACCAGAAACCAGGAGGAAGCAAAGAAGGAUCCUACCCAGAGUCUCAGAGGGAGCAUGGACCUGCUGAUACCUUCAUUUCAGACUUCUACCCUCCAGAACUGUGGGAGAAUACAUUUGACACCAGAGCCCCUAUAAAAAAUAAGCGAAUUUGGAUAAUAAAUUUCCACUGCUGUUUUAAGCCACUUGGUUUGUGGUACUUUCUUAUGGCAGCCCUAGG